GAGCAUUACUUUUAUUUUGUUUUGAAUCACCGUUUGAAUUUUUUUUCCAUUCUCUAUGUACGUUACUGAUCCUGUUAAUUCGGUGGCAUCUGCGCCCUCACUCGUUAAAUAAGAUCAUAUUAAUUUUCCUACCAAAGAGGUUAUGUCUCGGAAUAAAAAUUUCUGAAAAAGUGUACUUUGAACAGAUCUAUAUGUAUCACAAUAAAUAAGAUAUAUUAAUUCUAGAAGAGAUAACUAUUUUUAAAUAAUAUUGAAUAAACUUAACACUAAUAAUAUAAUAAAAAUUAUAUUUUCUUUACUUGAUUCAAUUAAUUAAUAGUAAUAUCAGGUAAAGUUAUUCUACCAAAUAUAUAUAUAUGGAUAUAUAUCAAAUAGGGUAUUUAUAUGAUCCAUCGACGCUGUACGGUCCUGAAUAUAUGUAAAGGUCCCCCUCAGACCAGAGUUAAUGGAAUGCAGGUGAGCAGGCAAACUUCGAUGCGUGGAGACAGGUACAGCCAAUGUCCGCCGCGUUGUUCGGACCUAUGUCCCAUUCCAAAGAUAUCGGAUAUAUUCUCUCGAAGCGGCGACGUUCGAUUCACCGCGAGAAUCGACCGCCUAUUCGAGAAACAUAAAGGACGAGCUCCUUUUCGUUCCUUCCUCUUCAUCGUGUGAAGGAUUCCUUUGGAUGACAAAUUCAUUCGAUCAUUGGCCGCGUAACGGUCAGCGUAAGUUCACACGAGACAUGAAUACAUAUCUUCAAUUUAUAUCAAGGAGAUGAUGUAAAUUUUCAUCUGAAGACAGAUUUACUCAUCGAUUGCGUAAUGUACAAAAUGGAUAGAAACGAAUGGUGAUAAUGAAAGAUUAACAGACUGUGAUGCUUAAAUUGGAUAUCUGUGGUUAGAAAGGUUGGUAAGAAAUUAUUUAUGUAAAAAAUUAGACUUUAUUAUAUAAGGACAAAUGGUCUAAAUAGGCAGAAAAUGAUUUUGUAUGCAAAAAUUGUAAAAAGAAAACAAAAUUUUAUCAUUUAUAAAAAAUUAAUAAUAAUUUUAAAUCAUUAAAAUUGAUAAAAAUGAUAAAAGAAAUUAAUCGACAAAUUCAAUCAUUUGGCUAAUAAUAUAUAUAUUUUUAGGAAAGUGUAAAAAUAUAAAAAUUGGAAAUUUUAUUCGUUCCUAUUUUUUUAGUAUAAUAUUCUAUCAAACACAAUUCAUUAUAAAAAAACUUUUCAUUAGUCUUCGAACUAUUUUAAAAAUGAAGAAAUGAUGAACCAAAGUCCAAAUCGCUCGUCACAAAAGUUUCAAUGUAAAUUAUUAAAAUUACUAAGAAUCAUUUUAGACAUUCAAAUGUAAUUUUAAAAUAUGAUUCUAGGAUAUUCUACAUUUCAGACAAGACGUCUAGGUUAGAUAAGACCUCCUUUCCUUUUGGAUUAAUUUGAAAAAUUGAUGGUUAGAAAAAGAAAGAACUUUAUAUCGACAAUAACGGAGAAAUUUUGCCGAUGUGAACUUUUCAGUUACAAAGUAUAUUUCACAAAGUUCAGUAAUCAUUCGGUAGCUUUAAACGCUAUAAUUACGUCGAUAUUGCGAGUUGGUGGACUUCUAUUUCUAUUUUAAACUGACAAUCAAUUAUUAUCCUUCGUUCACUUUGCACUAUUCUUUGUUUUAUUUUUUAUAUUUCAUUUAAAAUAAAAUUCAUUUAAUAAAUCUUAGUAAAGUAUUAAUUAAAAAAUUUUUAAUUAUUUACUUCUAAUUCUUUAGCUAAAUUUUAUGUAUAGCAUUAUUGUCUAUCAUUCAUUUUGAUUGACAGAAAAAGAAAAAGAAUUUUUCACAAUAAUGCAAUACGUUUGCAGUAAUAAAAAAAAAUAUUAUAAAACUAAUGUACAGAGUAAAAUCUAUGGAAGUUGCGCUGACAACUUGUGUAUAGAGCACGGUUUCUCGCGACCGUAUAAAACGGCCUUAAUAGGAGUGUUUCCUGAUCCCGGAACGAGUAACGAGACUCGUACGAAUAGCGAAGGGUUCGUGGGAAGACGAAUGCCGUGUCUGGUUUGCCCGAGGGUAUACACGCACACAAUAAAACGUUACUUGCACCGAGUUCCACCACAAGGAAACCAGUGCCGACUCAUGACAGCGCUCCCGAGUGCAGUUGCAGUUCCGUGCGGCAUCGGCCUUCUUUGGCAGAAGAUACGAAAGUAGUGGUAAUAGUAGUAGUAAUAGAUGUCAGGGCCAAAUCCCCGAGCCUCCACGAUCUCAAUUAGAUCAAAUGACGCGCGAUUAAGCGCGAUUAGCCGCGAACCUUUUAGUUUUUCGUCACUAACGAGCAUUAAAGUUCUAAUUUUGUUCAUCUUGUGCUAUUACAACAAGAAGAAGAUAGUAUUUUUUUAAAUUAUUUUGGUUCUCUUUUACAAUGAUCAUAAGAUAAAUUUCAAUUAUACUUGUUUGAUGUCGAAAAAAAGAAAGUUUGCUGCUUAUAAAAAAAGAAAGAUUCUUCGAAUACAUAUAUAUACAUAUAUUUGUCGAACCGUUAUGUCAAUCAAACAUAAUAUAGAGAAAAGAAAUUGUACGAUAUAUGAUAGAUUUAAGUUACAAUUCAAAUAGUACAUGUUAUCCCAUAUAAAAAAAGGAUAAAGAAAAAACAUUAAUUUGCGAUACCAAAUAUAUAUACUUAUUAGUUCGACGAUCAUUCAUUAAAUUUGUUUCGAAGGUAGCAGCACGUCGGUAGCCGAGUAUAUACCAUGGAACUUCCCCUACCUAAGGUCUUUUUCCCCCUCACGAUGCGCUACCUCUCAUCGUACAGCCCUGGGCCCGAGUAGAACAACGCCAGCACCGUGCUACGCCAAGACGAAGGCAAAAAGAAAAAGACUAUUACCUUACGGAGAAUAAUGGCAGCGUUUCCCAACCUUCCAGAAUCUUUCUUCGACAAAUAGACUUGUACUUUGAGAAAGUAUCAUCUUUUUUUUGGCAAUGUUUCACGGUAAAGUAAUGGAUACAUUUAGCCACUGGAUUCAGAGAAUUCGAAGAAUUGGGAAACCCUGAAAAGAAGAACACGUUAUGUGACCUGGAGUUUCAUUCCGUAUCGUCGUGUUAUCCCCAACAAGGAAGCAAAACAUCAAAAGAAGAAGAAAAAGAUGAAACUAUGAAGAAAUAAGAAAGAUUCAUAGACGGCAAUGCAUGCGAAAUAGAGCCUAGAGGCAUGCUUAUUAGAAAUAAUAAUAAUUACUACGAGACGAAUAAUAAAUGUUGUCGUUUGCUCAAUAUAUAUUAUUUGCUCAAUCUAUAUAUAUUGUUUACAAAAAAACCGUGUAAAUAAUCAUUACUAGUAUCUGGUAAUUAAAUAAAAUUAAAUAAAUCAAA